rnacentral:lncRNA from 1 species
CUUAAAUUAGAGGGACAAAGGUUUAAAAAUAAUAUCAGGAAGUAUUACUUUACUGCGAGGGUAGUGGAUGCAUGGAAUUGCCUUCCAGCUGAAGUGGUAGAGGUUAACACAGUAAAGGAGUUUAAGCAUGCGUGGGAUAAGCAUAAGGCUAUCCUAACUAUAAGAUAAGGCCACGGACUAAUGAAAGUAUUUAGAAAAUUGGGCAGACUAGAUGGGCCGAAUGGUUCUUAUCUGCCGUCACAUUCUAUGUUUUUAUGUUUAAAAUAUGAACAACUAGAUAUAACAAUGGUCUAGAUCAGGGAUAGGCAACCUUUGACACUCCAGAUGUUUUGGAUUACAUCCCCCAUAAUGCUCUUACACCCAUAAUGCUUGCAAAGAAUCAUGGGAAGUGUAGUCCAAAACAUCUGGAGUGUCGAAGGUUGCCUACGCCUGGAUUUAGAUAGAUAAGAAACGUCAAGGUGGAAAAGAAAUCGCUCUAAAGUUAAAGAAAUGUCAAUUUUUUAACUUUCAAUUUCAGAUGAGUUAGUUUAAGACAAGCCCACCAAAUAUGCUUUAGUGAGCCAACAUUUCUAUUACAUCUCCAACAAAGAUUAGAGGUAUUUGGUUAACAUUUACAUAACUUUAUAGGCACCAUAUGCCAUCUGUGUAUAAUUUUAAAAAAGGUCUCCUGUAUGUUCACACAAUAGAUAGAUUUCCCAAUUAUUUUAAGAGAGUUUUUCCAAAUCUGGAAAGAAAACGUUUUGUCAAUGUCUUUUUCCCAUUCUUUAAUAGAUUUUGUUUUCACAUUUUGAUUUAGGGAAUAUACGGCUUUCCUAAUAUUAGAAGAUAUCUUUCCAAAAUCUCCUAGAAGGAGCUUAUCUAAAGGUGAUUCAUUUAUUAUUAUCUCUGUAAUUCUCAAUCUUUGCUUUUGUUUUUCCUUAAAUGACCUUAAAUCAAAUGUCCAUCUAUGCAUCCACCCCAUCUCUUAGCCCAUCUGACCCUGAUAUAUCUCUCUCUCCCACAGUCUGAUUUUAAACAUACCCAGUCCAGCAUAGAACUCAGAGCUCCAUCAGCUGUUCCACGGCCAUUUGUAACAGGUAGCCUUCUGGAAGACUACCCUACCCCUCGCCCAUGUCCUCAUUUAUAGAUAGUCUCCCACACAACUUUCAAUCUCCUGAAAUGACAGGUGCAAACACUGAUCAGCACACCCUUCCAAUCUCUUAACCCUAUAGAACACAUACCCUCUCCCCCUUCAAAUAGAUAUAUCACACACCAAUAUUAUAUACUUUUAUUUAAUUUUAGUUUUUCACUAUUUGUGUUUCAUUUUCAACCACACACCUCAUACCACUAACUUGAAUCCAAUUAUAACCAUACUGAUAUUCUUAAUAACCCUUUUCUCAAUCCAAUUUUGUUCACACCGCUACCACCAUAAGCACACACCUCAAACUGGAACACAAAUUAUAAUACACCAUGGCCUGCUCUGUUCCUGUAACUUAUCUGCUAAGUGCUGGUGGAGAGUUAUACAAAAUAGCCCUCCUACCCCCACCUCACAAAAUUAUAAAUUAUCCCAUUCACUAUAGGGCCAAACAAAAAUGAUGUCCAAAUUCCUAUUCCUUAUGUUACUUGUCCUAUCAAAUGAUGUGGAGUCUAACCCUGGUCCCCCAGCUAAUUCUAGUCCUAAUCUCCCCACUAAGAAAGGCCUCUCUUUUGUGCACUGCAACAUCCGUAGUUUACUCCCUAAACUGGAUGCACUGCAAGCCUGGUGUUCCCAUUACAAACCAAAAAUCAUUGUGCUCUCAGAAUCAUGGUUAACGACUAAAAUACCAGACACCGCCAUUGCAAUACAGGGUUAUUCAUGUUUUAGAAAUGACAGAGCAAAGAGAGGAGGAGGCAUUGUUAUUUAUGUUGACAAUUCCAUAAAGUUUACCCCCUUACAAAACCUACCACUUUUGAUUUCCUUUCUGACACAAUUGAGAUCCUGUGCAGUAAAUCAAUCAUUGUUGCAGGAAUCUACCGCCCACCUAGCUCCCCUGUGCAUUCCCUAUCUGACAUAGCCCAUCUCCUUUGUGAAACCAUAGCUCAAAACCCAAAAAGUGAACUGUUGGUCUUUGGAGAUUUGAAUAUUGAUUGGCUGAAUUCUAAAAAUAAUAGUUCUUGCUCGCUGUUUAAGACUUUGCAGCUAACGCAAUUAAUCUCCUCCCCAACUCUCAUAAACAUUAAAAGCAAUAACAAUACCCUGCUCGAUUGGAUUCUCUCCACUUCUCCUGAUAGAAUCCAGGAGGUUGGUGUUCUCCCAAACACUUUCAGUGAUCACUGUUUAGUGUACUGCGUGCGUGAAAUAAAGGCUAUUAAAUCUUAAAUCCUUUCUUAAUGACAUCAAGAACCUCCCAUGGCACAGAUUAAACAUUAUCCCAGAUCUAGACUGUGCUGUUGAAUUCUUUCAGUCUGAACUCCUACAAAUUUGGAAUUUGCAUGCCCCGCUGCGUAAGGUGAGGGUAAAAGGAGCACAUAUGAACUGGAUCACAGCUGACCUCAUCCAAAUGUACCAGUUUUGGUAUUCUUUGUGGUCAAAGUUCAAGUGUACUGGCUCUAUGAAUGAUCAAUGUGCAUAUAGACAAUGGCGAAAUAUAUGCACAAAACAGACAAAACUGGCCAAGGCCCAAUAUUUCUAUGAAAAUCUGAACAGUAACAUCUCAAACCCUAGAAACGUUUGAAAAGUCAUAAAUAAACUACAAACGCCCCCAAUCCACUCCCAACCCUCCACUGUCAAAGUGGGUAACCAAACCCUGCAACUUCCCUUAGCUGUAGCAAAUGCCUUUAACAAUUAUUUUGUCGGAUGCUUUACUGCCCUGAUUGCCAAGCUAAUAAAUGACACGCAUCCUGAAACUACUAAUGUGGAUCAGGUCCCACUAAAUUUGCAAAGGCCCAAUAUAGACAAGUUCAUUUUUAGACCUGUACCUGUUAGUGUCAUUGAAAAACAUCUUAAUAAUCUAAAAAUGAAAAACCAGUCUGGACCUGAUCAAAUCCCAGCAAUGCUGUUGAAGCUCAGUGCGCCGGCAAUUGUUAAACCCGUCACAACCCUAAUUAACGAAUCCUUGGUGUCUCGAUACAUACCCAAACUUUGGAAGACUGCGAGAGUAGUGCCUAUCCAUAAAAGUGUUGACAUUACUUUGGUUUCUAACCAUCGCCCAAUAUCAUUGCUCCCAGUAUUGUCAAAACUCUUAGAAAAAUGUGUCCAUACGCAACUAUGAGUAUUACCAACAAUCAAACUAUCUGACCCCUGAUCAAUCUGUUUUUUGCUAGAAUCACUCCACUACAACCGCCCUCUUAAAAAUUUGCAAUGACAUCCAAACUGGCAUGGAACAAGGAGACCUAACUAGAGCUAUUUUCCUUGAUUUUGCUAAGGCCAGUAAACAGUAAACCACGACAUUCUACUGCACAAACUAAAAAAACUCAGGUAUUGGUGAUUGUCCGCUAACCUGGUUUCGAUCUUAUGUAUUGGAUCGCUCGCAAUAUGUGUCCAUUUCUGACAGCGACUCCCUCCCUCUCUGAGUCACGUGUGGUGUUCCCCAAGGUUUCAUUCUCGGCCCCCUACUAUUUACAUUAUUUAUAAAUGAUCUGCCUAAUGUCUGCAAAUCCUCCGCACCUGUCAUAGUUGAAAUAAAUUUUGUAUAUAUUGUGUAUUAAUAUUGUUUUUGUAUUUUAUUGUACCCUACUGUAUCAAUGCAAGGUUUUGUGGACCCAGGUCAUACUUGAAAACGAGAGAAAUCUCAAUGUAUCUUUCCUGGUAAAAUAUUUAAUUAUUAAAUAAAUAAAUUAUUAAAACUUUACGUGAUAAAUCUUAUAUUUGUGUUAGGGUUAAAAAAGCCAUAUAGAGAGAAAUAUAGGAAUAGCGUAAUAUAGAAUGAAAAAGUUGGUUGAGGUGUACCGGAACUGACAAUGCUGGUAGGCCUGUAAAAUAAAGAAGGCCCACCCAUGGGUUAAAGGGGGAUGAAGCUGACCAGCUUCCUGACUAGACGCGUGUUCGCUGGGCUCCCACAGCCAAACUCGACUAAUCGCUAAAUAAUCGCAAAUUCAGCCUUUUUUCUCAACGAGGUUACCUUACUUGAGCUCAGCGAAGCCUAACGAACCUCCUGAUAUCUCUUGAGAGAGAAACGGUGCAAAGAAGCCCGAGAUGACUGAUUGUGGCCUGCGGGCGCUGGAACUGGGGAGAGACGGACGCUCUUCCCGUCCUCUCGCUAGCGGCUCAGAAGACACAAUACUCCCUCCCCCCGGACCAGUGGGGGUAAUCCCGGUUCAAUCCUAGGAGAAAGCCCGACUAUGCAGGGGGCAAGCGACAACCCCACACAGACAACCUGCAGUGUCAGAGCGGAACACAAUGGCGGACGCCACGUGUACACCAAGCGAUGGUGAGGGAGAACCCGAUAUCUUGGCACGGCUAGAACGCACAUUUGCGGCCUUCUGGAGGAAAGUAGCACGCAGUAUGAAACAAGUUCAGCCUCCCGCGGCAUGACGUGAGCUUGCCUGAAGUGCCAUCACCUAGCUCCCGACACCGGCAAACAACCCCCAAGCCGAAGAGCACUGACAAACGGCGCCGGGAAAGCGACACCUCCCGCCUGCUUACUGGGUUACUCGACCGCAUGGAGCUAAGAAUAUAAACUUGUCAGGAUAUUUAUAUCGGCAGACAUUUUGUGCUAAGAUAGAAAUUAAAAGUGUAUAUUGCCAUGGUCACUCAGAACAAAGCGGACUCCAUUUUGCUAUCUUCAGGCAAGACAGUCACAACAUUUCUUUCCUUUCUUAUGUAAACAAGCCAAGUGAUAAGCAAUGAAGCAGGGGGAUGGAAUGCUCUGUUUAAAUGUUAAUGGGAUAGAAAUAAUUUUAAACACAGACACUAGUGACAGAGAAGACUCAGUAAUUUAUUUUACUUUCUAAAUUUUACAAGGUCCCAUUGUAAGUAAGGGGUGAAAUUGAGUUUAGAACUGUCAAUUUUAGAAAUUACAACAGGAAUUGUCGACGCGCCGUCUGGAGAAAAUCCAAAGAAACGCUUUGAACUGACAGCAAAUUUAAGUUAUGGUGAUCAUUUUAGGUAAGCCAAAUGACAUCAGAAUCGUCAUCAAAAUAAGUUAACUCUUUCGAGGACAGAAAAUUUUGAUGAGGCAAUUGCGCCCUCGAUUGACCAAAAACUAGAUAAUACUAGAUAACGUAGACACACCUACAGUUUCCUAUUGGCCUUAUCAACUAAUGACGUACAGAGAGUCUGGCCCUUUAAAAGUUAGGACUAAGGGAAGGGAGAGGGUAGUUUGGGCUUUCAGAUUAAAAUUCAGAGAGAUCCAGGACAGAUAUUCAGGACACUCUGGGACUAACACUCAACUCUCAAACUCUCUUGGACACAACUCAAGAAACACUCCUUAACACUUAGAAUGUAACUAUUAUUUUCUAACCAACAUCACUUUUCUCUAUUACUUACACACCUCCAUACAACUAAUCAUACUCGCAUUCAAGUUCCUGGAACUACCUACUCAUCUGGUAAUUAUGCUGGUUUUAUUUAAUUAACCUAAAUUAAUUAAAAUCUAUUAAUAGCAGGAUACAUGCAUGGAUAAAUCCUGAUCAGAUCCCAUAAUUGAGGAAUCUUAAUUAAAUAAAGAAUAUGUAGUUAUAACACUCCAUUCUGCAGGUGGAGUCAGAUAAUUACAUAGUACUGGUAUCUUACCACGUGUUAGCAUACCGCUGUUUUUAUCCAUGUGUGUUGAUUUGCUCUGAAAUAAGAUAAGAUAUCUUUUUAGGCAAAUUAAAAUUCGGCUUAUAGAAUCUGUAGAUUUGACUCUUUUGGAUGGUUCCAGGAAAUGAUUAAUGAGCUGGUUUGAAUGUUAUUUUAAUUGAAAAUUACAUGAGAAUAGGAUAUUAUAUGCCUAGGCGGAUCUAACCAGCAUUGAAAGGGUUACUCAGUUGAUUUGACUGUUAGCCAAGGUUUUAUGGCUUUUCGCUGUGUGAAGUUUAGCUUUCUGUGUCUGUGAAGUACCCUCAUAAAUCUUGUAAGUCUUGUAAGUCAGUUGAUGCUGUAGCUUUGUACUGUGUUUAGCCAUUGCCAUUGUAUACGACGUUAUACUAAAUAUUCACUGAUUAUUAUCAUGCAUGCUGCCUAAUAUUAUUAUUAUUUUAUUUGUCACAAUAAAUUAUAUCUAUUUUUAUAGCAAAUUGUGAUUUUAUUUGUAUGGAAUACAUUUCACCUACAUGAUAACGAUCUCUAAGAUCUAAAAGAAUUGAAAUAGUGGGCAAUUCUCAACUGUAUAAUAUUAUCAUCCCAUAAAUAUUCCCACAAACCCCAAAACGAGACAGCCAAGACAGCGGCAGCACCACGCCAGAGAGCAUGCUUCACCUGAGGUACCAAGGGAACCCCCACCAGCGACAGCCACCACCUGCUGACCCCUAGUAAGCUGGGGCAGCCUGCAGCACUCAUCCUGGCUACGGGACACUGUAUACCCUCUGGUGGGCAUACGUUAAAAAUGUCUUACCCACAAGGACAUAAUGGCCAUUUACCUUACCCACUGAAAAACAGGGGAUAUGGCAUACAAUCUACACACAAAACGGAGGCUAUCCUGCCUCUUAUUUUUUAUUUUUCUAUGUGAUGCAAGCUUUUGUUUUAUCCAGCAGACACAAGUAUACCUCUUUCAUAAUACCUACUGUACUUCUUUAUGCAUGCUCUUUGCCUCCCAUCUUCGUGCUACAUAACAUAACAAACUGAGGAAUAGGUUACUGUACCACAAGAAAUGCUAAUAUAAACACAAUGAGCAGCACUAUCACCACUCAUACCAUACCUAUGCCUAUAUGUUGUAACAUACUGACUGGAUUACACAUAUAGUGAGCUGCACACUAUGCUACGACCCAGACUCCUGUCUGACUGCACACUGCAGUACUAUGCUCACCAUAGCUAAACGUUUGCCUCCUACCUCCUUAAGACUAACUAUACACCAACUAACGCCAUUGCUGAUCUCGCAAAACAAACUAAUGUCCAUAGCCUGGGCCUUUAACUACACAUAGCGCACUAAUCACCACCUCAUGCAGAUUAAGCCUCUCACUUCGCUUGUUUAUAUUGUUGAAACCUACAAUUCGUCAUGUAUAUCAAGCCUGACUAAAACUACACCUAAAAAAUGUGCCAUGACAUUCAUGCCACAUAAAUGUACAAAUGUACAACUGUAUUAUCACUGUAUUAUCACUGUGCUUACAUACGCCGUUGUGGCAUAGUUAACUCUUGCACAACGAAAAAUAAAGAAUUUUUUUUUUUAAAAAGGAGAAGAAAAAGAUAUUAUGAUUGAGUGGUGAGAGGGACAUGCAAAUCGCUAGACCAAGAACGGAGUGGAACAAGGUAAGGAGUCCCUUUAAGUAGGGAAAGCAUGUCCAUCCCACAAUUACUGGCCGAAGCCUUAAUACUUGUGUUUCCAAAAUGCCGUAUAGAGUGACAGAGAGAAAUAUAGAUACAGUGGCGUACAUACUAGGGUCGCAGGGGUCGCGGCUGCGACCGGGCCCAGCCCACCAGGGGGCCCGGCCGCCCCUGCGACCCGGUAUGUAGCCAAAGGGCCAGCCUCUUCUCCUGGGGGGCCCAGGAGGCGGCCACCCCAGGGCCCCCCGAGGCUGGCCCUGCUGACCCCAGCUGGUGGAUGGCCAGUCGGGCAGGCGGGCGCGCGAGGGAGCACUCAGUGCUUCCUCUUCAGCUCCCUCGCGCACCACACUGAUACCGGAGCCGGAAGAUGACGUCAUCUUCCGGCGCCGGCAUCCCUACGCGGCGCGCGAGGGAGCUGAAGAGGAAGCACUCAGGGGAAAGUACUCCCUCGCGCGCCGGCCGCCCGCCCAGACAGCCCGCCCACCCAGGAGCCCAGCAGCACCACUGGACCCCAGGGAAUCCCCCCAGCACUCCAAUAGGUAAGGAGGCUGGGGGGAUUAAAUUUAAAAAAUGUGUUAGUGUGUGUGUGUGUUAGUAUGUGUGUGUGUGUUAGUAUGUGUGUGUUAGUGUAUGUGGGUCUUAGUAUGUGUGUGUUAGUGUGUGUGUAUGUGUGUUAGUGUGUGUGUAUGUGUGUUAGUGUAUGUGUGUUAGUGUAUGAGUGUGUGUGUGUUAGUGUAUGUGUGUGUGUGUGUUAGUGUAUGUGUGUGUUAGUGUAUGUGUGUUUGUGUUAGUGUGUGUAUUAGUGUUUGUGUUAGUGCGUGUGUUAGUGUGUGUGUCAGUGAGUGUGUCUGUUAUUGGGUGUGUGUCUGCUAGUGAGUGUGUUACUGUGUGUGUCUGUUACUGAGUGUGUUUGUCUGUUAGUGAGUGUGUGUUUGUCAGUGAAAGUGUAUGUUUUGUGAGUGUGUAUGCGUCUGUUCGUGAGAGUGUGUGUGUGUGUCUCUUCAGCAUUUACCUUUCUCCAGCGUCGGACUCCCCAGUGUCCGCCUCUCAGCUCCGAAUGCAAAUGCGUGGCAAGAGGCGCGCGCGCGCAUUUAAACCGCCCAUAGGAAAGCAUUACGCAAUGCUUUCCUAUGGACGUUCAGUGUCUUCUCACUGUGAUUUUCACAGUGAAAAUCGCGGAAGCUCCUCUAGCAGCUGUCAAUGAGACAGCCACCAGAGGCUGGAUUAACCCUCAGUGAAACAUAGCCGUUUUCACUGCUAUGUUUUCAGCUGCAGGGUUAAAACUAGAGGGACCUGGCACCCAGACCACUUCAUUGAGCUGAUGUGAUCUGGGUGUCUGUAGUGGUCCUUUAAGUGUGUGUGCAUACCGCGGUUGCGGGGUCGCAGCCCUGCAACCCCUGCGACCAGGUGCCCGCCGCCAUGUGUUGCGGCCCCGACCUGCGCCGAGUAAGCGCGUGGGGGAGGGGGGGCCCACAGAUCAAUUUUCGCACCGGGGCCCAAUGGGUCAUGUGUACGCCACUGUAUAGAUAGAAUAGCGUAAUACAGAAUGGAAAAAGUCGGUGAGGUGUGCUGGAACAGAUGAUGCUGGUAGGCCUGUAAAAUAAAGAGGGCAAAAAGGAGAAAUACAGUAAAAUCGUUAAUACAGUCAACAAUCAACAUACAUACUUAUACACAUGGUUAAAUGAUAAUGCUUGAUGGAGUUCCAAUGCUGGUUGUGGAAUGUACCUUGAAUAGGCUGAGGACUUCCAGUGAACUAAUGUUUAAUUAUGUGUACUGGUAGAAACCUGCUUGAGUGACCAGAAUAAUGGAAGGGUUAAGGCCUGGUCUUCUUGAUUAAUGUUCUGACAUAACUCAUGAAUGAGAUAUAUUUAAAGAUUUGUGUGAUAAUUAAGUUUAAGGUGGCAAAAAGCAAACCGUAGUAAAGAAAUCAUGGCAAAUGUGCUGUUAAUAUACUGUACUAAUACUUGGCCAGAGAAUACAUAAACAGGAAGGCCCAGUGAUACCUGGGCAACUGAACUAACUAGGCAUAAUAAAGGCAACUAACUAGGCAUAAUAAAGGCAAUAAAGGAACACUUACCUGUGACCUGAUAUUCGUAAUGAGUGGAGAGACUUAGGUGACAGCAAUCACUAGGUGACCACUAAGGGUCCAACACGAAAUAUCUUAUAACAUUGAUAAUCUGGAAUCUGCCAUACACGGGAGUCAUACGCUGACUAAGGUAAUUGUUAUAAACAUCUAAGAGACUAACCAAUAUAAAUCUUGCAAACAAUUGAGGGUUUAAUACAGUACCUGACUGGGGGAAUGCUGUAAAACAAGAUGUAUAAGCAAUUAGGAUAAACCAGGUGGCAUAAAUAUGAUGAACAGCAUAUAACGUGAAGUUAACCUAUCAGUAUUGAGACAUAGAUUAAAAAUUGCGAGUUGUGAAGAUAUUUAUGGGGUGAUAAAUAUUAAAAAUGAUAUUUUCAUAAAAAUUUUCAAAAAUGUAUUUACUAAUUUUAAUUAUAUCAAAAAUGUAUAUCUUGGCACUGUUUCCCUGAUUCAUGAUUUAAAGCGGAGAAUUACCCACUAUUUUAAUUCUCAUAGAUUCUGGAGUAAGUUUCAUUAGAAGAUUUUAUCUCACAUAUUAAUCACAAGUUAAUUAUAAAAAAAUAAUUUAUUGUGACAAUAAUAAUAAUAAUAAUAUGUAACAUGCGUGGUAAUAUCAGUGAAUAUUUAGGUAUAACAUAAGUAUACAAUAUGGCAGUGGUUUAACACAAUAUCGACAGCUGAAUAGCAGCAGUUAUAGCGACAAGUAUGCAGUUUUCAACAAGACUGACAACAGGACACUUCACUUUGAAAUCAACGUAACACAGAACACAGCAUUUCACAGCAGCACAGCGUAAAGCAAUAAAAGCUUUGGCUGACAGUCAAAUCACACUGAAUUAACUCUUUCACUGCUGGCUACAAUUCUCAUAGGCAAGAUAUCCUAUUAUAUUACAAUUUUACAAAUAAAAUAUUUCUCAUACCAAAUCAUUUACCAUUCCUAUGUCCAUCCAAUAAGAAUAAUUCUAACCAGAUUUUAUGUUUGCAGAAUUUUAACUUCCCUAAUUAAGAUUCACUAUCCUUAAUUUCAGAACAAGUCAAUACCUCUUGAUAAAAGCUUGGUAUGCUAACAUUUGGCAAAUUUACCAUUAAUAUUUUGUUAUCUUUAUUCCAUCAGCAGGAAUGGAAUUUUUAUAACCAUAUAUUCCAUGGCUAAUAAUGUUUUCUAAUAAUUGAUAUCUGACCAACAUUUAUCCAGAUAUAUUCCUGCUAUUAGUAAAAAUGAAUUAUUUUAAUUAAAUUAAAUAAAAACCAGCUGUAAAAUGUAAUUUGUAACGGGGUUAAUGUAGAAUCCUCUUAAUUUCUUCUUAUCUUCAGUUGAUUGAUAUAUAUACGUGUUUUGUAUAUAUAGUCUUGGGCCAAAUGCUCGCCACAAUAAUAUAUGUCUAUAUUAUGGAAAAGUAGUAAUACGCAAUCUGACUUACGGUUUCUUCAGGUUUAUUCUUUGUUACGGAUACAUAAUAAAACAUAAUAAAUGAUGUUACAGGAUAAUGGACAUUCAACAGCAGAUGGUAAUUGGUGGACUUCUUUUGCAUCCUUAGAUCUUUACAUCUAGAGAGAGAGAGCCAGAGCCAAGAGUCACGAGCCAAGCAAGAGCGACCUUGUGUCCCUCUGUUACUAUAAAGAUGUGCUAAUACUAACGUCAGCAUUUAACUCUAGCCAUAUAAGGACAAGACCCCCGAAUCCACAUUCCAGAGCUCUCGGACAAAGAAAGCCUUGUGACUUAUUGAUACCAUCUGUUACUUAUGUCAAUCCACACAUCCAUAUAUAUAAUCAAUAGAAACAUAGAAUAUGCAAUAUUCUACACCAGCAUAAUUACCAGUUAUGUUGUAGAAUUUCUAUCAGAUGUGUAGAUAUGUCCCAGGAAUUUUGAAUGCAAGUAUGAUGAGAGAAUUGUUUGAAAAUAGAAAAGUUUUCAGAGUUCUGAAGUUGUGUUAGUUGGAAAAGAUACAAAUAAUUAGGUGUGUCCAGCUUUGGCUCCAGAUGUCAGAUCUUAGCUGUUAGAUGUGAGUCCAUUCUCAAAGUGAGAAUAUAUCUGAGUCUGAGUGUGAGAGUCUAAGAGUGUCCUAUCUCUCCUUUGUCCUUAAUUUUUAAAGAAGUUCUCCAUACAUCACUAGUUGAUAGGACCAAUAGAGAACUGUGGACGUGUCUUUCCUAUAGACUAUCAUCUAGAUUUUGGUCAGUAGAUGGUGCAAUUACAUCACCGAAAAUUCUUGUCAGGGGGUCCAUUUACCUUUUUGUAUAAUGGGUUAACUGAAUUUCGUGAUGCAUUUAAUGUCAUCUUGGUUAUAUUUUAUGGAUAACCGUCCAUCAAACCUAUCAGACUUCAAAGCAUUUUCUUUGAUUUUUCCAGUUAGAGCAUCUGCAAUUUUGGCUAUACGUUAGAUUCCUGACACGUCCUAACCUUAAUUUCACCCUUCCUUGCAAUGGAACUUUAUAAGAUGUUUUUUAGAAAGUAAAAUGAAUUACUUAGUGUUAUCUGUCAUUGGUGUCUGGUUUUCUUGUGUGAAACUGUAGUAAUAUUAUUUAUAUAUGUCUAUUACACAUAUUCCACUAAUGUUAGUAAAUAAUAUGACAUUUGUUCAUUGAUAUUAUAUCCAUGAAUAUGCCAUAUUAUUAACAUAGUACUAAUUUUAUAUGAUUAAUAUAAUAAUAGUAACUUAUAUGUGGAUAGUGUGUGUGUAUAUAUAUAUGUGAAAAGUUAAAUAUAUAUGCACCAUGUUGCAAAUUAUUAUGCAAAUUCUGUUUAAAUGUCACAAAGAUUAAAUAUUUUGUUUUUCAGUUUAACUCAUGGAUGGCAUUGUGUCUCAGGGCUCUUUUGAUCACUGAAAACAAUCUCGGACACCUGUGAUAAUUAU